UUACUCUAAAAAUUUCUAAUUCAGAAUAUGAAAUAAAUUUUUAUUAAAAUGGUA
rnacentral:tRNA from 1 species